CUAAGAUACUGUUCAUGCAAUAAUCAGUGAGCUUUAGUUUUUGUAUAUUUGAAUUGGCCUAAGUAUUAUAAUAGUUAAAUAUUUCUUGGCUAAUAAAAGAAACGGAGGAAAUACUUGUACAUGAUGAUAAUGCGUACGGGCGGACAGAUUCAUAUUGUUGACUGUACACUUCUGAUUGUAUAGAAGGUUGAAUAUUUCUUAAGAUUUAAUGUUAUGAAUCCUUGGGUUAAAUGGUUCCUUCCCCCUUCUAGGAUUACUUCAUAAGUUUACCAUGGCUUCCAAAAGAUACCAGUUAUCAAGUGGAAUCCUCUUAGAACACGACCACCUAUUUUUCAACCAAGAUGAACUGGGGUCCUAUGUCUUUAGUGGACAACAGAAGGCAAGACUCCAGUAAAUUCAGAUAGAUUGCUACAUGGCUGUUAAUAAUUCAAGUUUGCAAGUAUUAACAUUACAUUAUUAUUCAAAUGGAUGAGCUGAGGUCCCAUUCCUUUAAUGGAGCAGACAAGUGAAUUCAAUUUGAGUUGAAAGUAGCAGUCAAUCCAGUUCUUCAGUUUGAAACUUCAAGAUGGCAAAUAAUCCUCAUGAAAGCAGAGCUUUCAAGUAUUGCUACAUGCGGUGCUUGCAUAUGCAUUGACUGUUCUUGAAAUGCAGAAUGUACUAUACACAUGGUAACUUUAAGAUCUACCAUUUUGUGUUUGGAGAAAUAAAUAUCUCGUGUUUA